UUGUAUUUUACUUUAGAAUUUUUUUUAAGCAUUAGAAAGCUGCUUAUGUAUUUGUUUUCUUGAAGACACUGCCUGCCUUAUAGGUACAGAAAAACACUUGAGACCCCUCAUGACGAUAAAAAUUUGAAGAGCACCUGAAUGAAAGAGCCAACUAAAAUAAGUUUUAUGGUAAUUUCUGACAAAUGGCCAAGCGCUUUGAAGUUCAUUCUUCAGAAACAGAGAGACCAAAGUUCUGUUGAUUCUGGUUCAACCCAAAAGAAGAAUGAUAUGGCAAUAAAUACAGAGGGAUGCAAAAUUUCACUGGGAGCUGAGGUCUUAUGUAUCUGCUGUCUGUCUGUAAACAAGGACACAAUGUCAGUUCCAGAUAUCAUCAUUUUGUCAGUCAGGUCAAAGGCUUUGGCUCCUGUUUUCUGGUUCAAGAGUUCCCUUCACUUAUGUGCGUGAGCCUGUGUGUUUAUCUGCAGAUGAGGUCUGUGCCAAUGUUUUGAUAGAAGUUUCUCAUAGCUGGGCUGGACCCAUGAUCAAUACAUGUCUCUUUCACUCUUUAUUUCCUUUGAUUUGGUGUUUUAGAGCAAAGGUGCUGCAGACACCACAACAGUACAGUAUUCAUAUAAAUGUUGCCAAUAAGAGUUUAUUCUGAAACCUGGAAGACUGUGUGGGAAUGGUGUACUGUAUUCACCACAUUACCCUCCAUUUGACCAGGAAAGGACCAUCUUGUACACUUACUUGUAAACCAUCUCAGAUAGCAUCAGUAGCAGCCUUACUCUGAAGUCCUUUUAUAGCAAUCCAUGUUUAGAAGAUGUAAUUGCUCUUGAACAAAGACCUGGCAAUUGUGAAACAUCUUCUGCUCAAGAAAGCGCUACCAGGCCCUUUAUGUUAUAUUUGUCUUCCCUCUUCUUGCAAUAAGGAAGGAAGGGGGGAAAAAAGGAAAUGCCUGUGGAGUCUUUUUCAUAAUGAUACAACUACUGAGCAUCUAGAGGAAUUGCCACACAGCAGGCUUCAAUCAAAUAAGAGGUUGUUUUUCAGACAAUGCAGACUCAACUACCAGAGACUUAAAAUGAUAAACAUAGAGGACAAAUGGUCACUAAACAAUCUCCAGUUCAGAAAGCUGCCCUCCACUGAGGCUUGGAGUCUCUAAAAUAAAGUUUCCAUCAACCAUCAUGUUAAACCAUUCACACUGCAGGAAGCCAAGGGAUGCUGCUUCUUCUUGAGCACCAUCACUGAACUCUGAAGCAGUUGUUAAAAAUGGUUCAGCCUGCCUACCCCCAAACAACUCAGAACACUCCUCAAAGGCUUUCUGCCCCUUGCUGCGUGCCAGCCUGCAAAUAAGCAAGAAGCCAUUCACCUCCCUUUCAGCAGCUGGAGUACAAGGUACAGAAAUAUCCUCCCUUUUGGAGCUGGUUCAAGAGGAGGCCCUUCACAUGUGGGAAUUAAUACAUUGAAAGGACUGUUAUCUUUGCGGGACUUCUUUUUUAAUUGAAUAAUUUAAUUUACAGUGUUCCCAGCUGUCUGGAAUGCAGUUCUCCUUUGAGUUUGCCUGUAGGAACACUGAGGAUUUAUGUAGCAUUCUCAGCAAUAAGAAGGGAAUGGCAUUGCUUUGAUCUUUUUCUUGGUUUUGUGUUUUUUUUUUUAUUUUACAGUAGGUGACAAUAUGCAAGACUGUAUAUCCCACAUUCAGAGAGGCAGUCACUUUUCUUGAGUUUAUUUGCACAUUGUAUCUUCUUCUGUUUCAGUAGAUGACAAAAAUUGUUUUA